AAACACAACGCUAUGCAGUGGAUCACUUGGCUCGGGGGUCGAUGAAGAUCGCAGCUAGCUGCGAGUCGGAAUGUGAACUGCAGGACACAUGAACAUCGACAUAUUGAACGCAUAUUGCAGAUUGUGACUCUGUUACAAUCUAUACCUGGCUCAGGGUCGGUUUC
rnacentral:rRNA from 1 species